UACGAAGGUCCCAAGCGUUAUCCGGAUUUAUUGGGUUUAAAGAGCUCGUAGGCGGUUUGUCGCGUCUGCCGUGAAAGCCCGGGGCUCAACUCCGGAUCUGCGGUGGGUACGGGCAGACUAGAGUGAUGUAGGGGAGACUGGAAUUCCUGGUGUAGCGGUGAAAUGCGCAGAUAUCGGGAGGAACACCAGUGGCGAAGGCGGCACUCUGGGCCGGUACUGACGCUGAGGAACGAAAGCGUGGGGAGCAAACAGG
rnacentral:rRNA from 1 species